rnacentral:rRNA from 1 species
UACUCAGUUCGGAUUGCAGGCUGCAACUCGCCUGUAUGAAGUCGGAAUUGCUAGUAAUCGCGGAUCAGCAUGCCGCGGUGAAUACGUUCCCGGGCCUUGUACACACCGCCCGUCACAUCAUGGGAGUCGGGAAUGCCCGAAGCCAGUGACCCAAGCGAGAGCAGGGAGCUGUCGAAGGCAGGCCGGAUAACGUGGGGUGAAGUCGUAACAAGGUACC